rnacentral:rRNA from 1 species
GACGAACGCUGGCGGCGUGCUUAACACAUGCAAGUCGAACGAAAAGGCCCUGCUUUUGUGGGGUGCUCGAGUGGCGAACGGGUGAGUAACACGUGAGUAACCUGCCCUUGACUUUGGGAUAACUUCAGGAAACUGGGGCUAAUACCGGAUAGGAGCUCCUGCUGCAUGGUGGGGGUUGGAGAGUUUCGGCGGUUGGGGAUGGACUCGCGGCUUAUCAGCUUGUUGGUGGGGUAGUGGCUUACCAAGGCUUUGACGGGUAGCCGGCCUGAGAGGGUGACCGGCCACAUUGGGACUGAGAUACGGCCCAGACUCCUACGGGAGGCAGCAGUGGGGAAUAUUGCACAAUGGGCGGAAGCCUGAUGCAGCAACGCCGCGUGCGGGAUGACGGCCUUCGGGUUGUAAACCGCUUUCGCCUGUGACGAAGCGUGAGUGACGGUAAUGGGUAAAGAAGCACCGGCUAACUACGUG